rnacentral:rRNA from 1 species
UACGGAGGGAGCUAGCGUUGUUCGGAAUUACUGGGCGUAAAGCGCGCGUAGGCGGCUUUGUAAGUUAGAGGUGAAAGCCGGGGCUCAACCCCGGAACUGCCUUUAAAACUGCAUCGCUUGAAUCCGGGAGAGGUGAGUGGAAUUCCGAGUGUAGAGGUGAAAUUCGUAGAUAUUCGGAAGAACACCAGUGGCGAAGGCGGCUCACUGGACCGGCAUUGACGCUGAGGUGCGAAAGCGUGGGGAGCAAACAGG